rnacentral:rRNA from 1 species
GGGGAAUUUUUGACAAUGGGGGCAACCCUGAUCCAGCCAUGCCGCGUGAGUGAAGAAGGCCUUCGGGUUGUAAAGCUCUUUCGGCCGGGCAGAAAUCGUUCAGGGUAAUACCCUGUAUGGAUUCCGGUUCCGGAAUAAGAAACACCGGCUAAACAUCUUCCAGCAGCCGCGGUAAUACGUAGGGUGCGAGCGUUAAUCGGAAUUACUGGGCGUAAAGCGUGCGCAGGCGGUUUUGUAAGACAGGCGUGAAAUCCCCGGGCUCAACCUGGGAACUGCGCUUGUGACUGCAAGACUAGAGUACGGCAGAGGGGGGUGGAAUUCCACGUGUAGCAGUGAAAUGCGUAGAGAUGUGGAGGAACACCAAUGGCGAAGGCAGCCCCCUGGGUCGAUACUGACGCUCAUGCACGAAAGCGUGGGGAGCAAACA